UUCAAUGGGGUGGAAUCAAUUCCAAUUGCCUGAUUUUUAUCUAACAUGACUUUGAUUGGAUGAAUCUAACCCGAAAAGCUCAAUCAGGCUCAACUAGUAACGUAACUAGGAAGACCUUAUCAAAACUCGGCUGAGACUUUACUCGGAAUCGUAGAACGAUUUCUACCAGAGCUCAUGAAAAAGAAAAAUAAAAAUGCAAUUCAAAUAUUUACGCAUACCAAAAUGAAAAUGGAUGAAAAAUUAAAUUGAAAGUUUUCUCUAACCCGGAGGAAAUAGAGGAAUGGGGCUUUGGAUGUUUGGAAUACCACUUAUCAUAGUCUCUACUCUGGGUCUCCUUCUUAAUGCUUGUGUACUUCUGGUAGUAGUUGGCCUUGGCAAGCAGACGCAACAACAACAAACUUCUAACACUAUUCUCCUAAUUCAUCUUGGAGCUGUAGAAUUCGCUAUCUGUUUUAUUUUUCUAAUAUCUACGACCGGCUUUUGGCCUAUCACUAGUACCUGGUGUAUGCUACAUGGAUUUUUACUCACAUUUUUGCACCCUGUUGCUCUGUGGACAGUGACUGGACUUAAU